CAACCAAACUGAUGAUACAGAGAUCAUGGGGACAUGACGACAGUGCUAGUAUAGGGACCAAGGGGACUCAGAGGAGAGAACGGAGGCUGCAGGAACGGAGACUUGGUGACCUUUUCUGGCACUGAUGAGGCCUGGGCCUUUUGCUGAGUCCUACAUACAUAAUUGCUCCGUGAAUGCCCACCUAAGCCAAGGGUGCACAUUGCUAUCCCCGGCUGGCCACUGAGGCCACUGAGAUACUUAGAGAUCAUGUGACUUCUCCAAACACACAUUCAGUAAGGGCAAGGGAGCGGAUGCAGACAUAGUUCUCCCCAUGACCAGCUGUGGGAACCCCUACACCCUGGGGUUGGACGAGGCUGGUGGGGAAAGGCAGGUGUGGAAGGAGUCAUGGUGGGAAAACCUACAACUGGACGUGGCCUCCUCACAGGAGAACUGAGUGUCAGAAGCCUGGUUUAGGAUUGGGAUUUAGGGAGAAUGGGCUUAGAAACGGCUGCAGAAGCUACCUGGAGUGUGAGAAGAAAAAUGCUUUCAAGUGUCCUUGCACCGAGGAGUACAGAUCCUUGGAGGAGAAAAGGAUCCAAGGAACGAGGCCAGGACAUGCUCUGGAGAUGCUGUGGAAUGAGCGUGAACGUGAGCACUGUUCAGGAAGCCAUGCCCCGGGGUAGAAGCUGUGUCAAGUUCCUGGUCUGAGGCAAAGCAGUGUCUAUUGGGUCAACAGUGGGACACGCUGGUGGGCUGAUGAGUUGCUUCACGGAAGCCAGACCUCAUGUGGACACAAGGAAGAGAUUAGCAGACUGAAUUUGACCUUGGACAUUUGCCUUCUCAGCCCUCAGUGCUGGCCUGACUCUCAGCUCAGCUCUCUCCUUUCUUCUCUGGGGAGUCAGUGCCUACCCUUGGCAUCUGUUUUCCCUCCUACCUCCUGACCACUGAGAUAGGAGCCAUUUAUCAAUUCCCCUCCACAGAGUGUCCGAUUCUAUUGCUAAAAUAUUACCAUUCUCAGCUGAAUAGAUUUCCUUGGCAGGUUCUGGCCUCUUUUGGUUAAAGGGGGAAAGUCGCAUUUUUCUACCUAAUCCUGUUGUGAAAUGUUCCCCUUCGUUCGACAUGUUCAUUCAGAUAACACCUCUCGGCCUUCCCAUUUCUCACUCCUAAUCUUUUAUUUCUCUUUUCCAAGAUUUAUAACUUACAUAUGCAUCUGUCUCUCUCUUUAAAUUUAUUGCAGUGCCUCCUUCUCUUUCCUAUCACACCUUUGCAUCUGCCCCACCUGCUCGUCAUGAGUCCUUGGUGGAGCUCAGAGGCACUGGUGCGUGCUCUGCUAUACCCUCCUCUCCUUGGCCCUGUACAAUCCAUCAUUCGAUCAAAAUGCACCACCUUCUAAAAUGUCUUCAAUCUGGGAUGCCUGGGUGGCUCAGCGGUUUAGCGCCUGCCUUUGGCCUGGGGUGUGAUCCUGGAGUCCCAGGAUCGAGUCUCAUAUCGGGCUCCCUGCAUGGACCCUGCUUCUCCCUCAGCCUGUGUCUCUCCCUCUCUCUCUGUGUCUCUCAUGAAUAAAUAAAUAAAAUCUUUAAAAAAAAUAAAAUGU
rnacentral:lncRNA from 12 species